CGGGCAGCAAGCCCCGGUGACUAUGCUAACCUGGUCAUUGAGGAUAAAAUAUUGACUAAUCAUUGGUGAGGAAAAAGGGGAUUGAUUCACAAUCACCAACACCAACAUCAUGAGAAGUUGGUGGCUGCCCAUGGUGACCAAUUCAGAGUUGUAACAACUCUGCAGCAACAUCUAUUUCUUGAGUCUUGAUUCCUGCAGGAACAUAUUAGCCACGGAAAGGAUUAGAUAGACCAAGGU
rnacentral:lncRNA from 1 species